rnacentral:rRNA from 1 species
AGUCGAGAAUCUUCGGCAAUGGGCGAAAGCCUGACCGAGCGACGCCGCGUGCGGGAUGAAGGCCCUCGGGUUGUAAACCGCUGUCGUAGGGGAGGAAGGCUUCGUGAAGAGCGAGGUUUGACCUAUCCUAGGAGGAAGUACGGGCUAAGUUCGUGCCAGCAGCCGCGGUAAUACGAACCGUACAAACGUUAUUCGGAAUCACUGGGCUUAAAGGGUGCGUAGGCGGCCAUGUAAGUGAGAUGUGAAAUCCCUCGGCUCAACCGAGGAACUGCGCUUCAUACUGCAUGGCUUGAGGGAGACAGGGGUAAGCGGAACUGAUGGUGGAGCGGUGAAAUGCGUUGAUAUCAUCAGGAACACCGGUGGCGAAAGCGGCUUACUGGGUCUCUUCUGACGCUGAGGUACGAAAGCUAGGGGAGCGAA